rnacentral:misc_RNA from 1 species
AAGUCGUAACAAGGUUUCCGUAGGUGAACCUGCGGAAGGAUCAUUAAAGAGUUAGGGUCCUCGUGGCCGACCUCCAACCCUUUGUUUAACUAUACCACGUUGCUUCGGCGGGCCCCGUUCCCCUUCGGGGGGACCGCCGGGAGGGGUUUUCAUCCCCCCUCUGGUUCCGUUGCCUGUCGAUAGCCCCAACCGAAAAAGUUCUUGAUACAAACCAUGUCGUCUGAGUCUAAAAUUUUCAAUUAAUAAAA